rnacentral:rRNA from 1 species
AAUGAACGUUGGCGGCGUGGAUUAGGCAUGCAAGUCGCGCGACAAGGAACCUUCGGGUUCUGGAGGAGCGGCAAACGGGGUAGUAAGGGCAUCGGAACGUACCCUCUUGUUGGGAAUAGCCGCGGGAAACUGCGAGUAAUGCCCAAUAAUCCCUACGGGGCAAAGGUCCGCCGCAGGAGGAGCGGCCGAUGUGAUACCAGCUAGUUGGUGAGGUAAUGGCUCACCAAGGCUUAGACGUCUAAGGGGUGUGAGAGCAUGGCCCCCACACUGGGACUGAGAUACUGCCCAGACACCUACGGGUGGCUGCAGUCGAGAAUCUUCGGCAAUGGGCGCAAGCCUGACCGAGCAACGCCGCGUGCGGGAUGAAGG